CCCUCCCUCCCUCCCUUUUUACAGUAUUUUGAAGUGAGAAUGUUACAUUCCAAAUGUUGAUCAGUGCCUAGAAAAAAAGUCCCAUGAUGCCAAAUAAGUAUAUCCUAAGGAGGGAAGGGGAGGGGGAAGAUCUGCAAGGUAACAUUGAUACUGAAAACAUGUUCAGGGAAUGUUGUGCACGUUAACAAAUUGAAGUGUAUUGUAUGUGAGUUUUUAAAUGGAAGCCAUGUUUGUAUAGUUGUACGGGUGGGUGGGAUGAAGAACUCCUGCUCUUCCCUAAAGCUUUGGUUGGAGCUCAUGUAUAGAAGAAGGAAGUUUUUCUCAUGUGGACCAGAUCCAGUGAAUCCAUUUGAGGGGCUACAAGAUCUGGAGAGAACACUGGAUUUACUUCAAAAGGACUCUCAUCAGAUUGAAAAUCUUUACCUAAGUGGAUUUAUAAAACAAAUACUAUUCUUUUCAUUCACUGGUGUCGAGAUUGGAUUCUCCUGUCAUUUCUUCAUUUUAGGCUUUUGUAAUAUUGCCAUUGUUAUUUAUAGAGGUUUGGACAAGGGAAUGUGUUUUCUUACAGCAUAGCUAAUAUUGUAGGAAGGAGUUACAGCUGAUACAAAAUCACAUUCACCUAUGGACAUUGCUAAAUAUGGUGAAGUAUAUUUCUCAAAAAAAAUAGUCACAUGUUGAUCUGAAAUACCUUAUAUUUCCCUCCCUCUCUAUGGUAGCAUUUAAAACAACCUUUACACUAUAUAUGGCUAAAUUUUCCUAGAUAUACAGAAAUAAUUGGAUGCAUUUAACUAUUCAAAUGUAUUUGAAUAAUAGAAGACCCAUUUAAAAGAAGAAAACAAAAUGGAUUACCUUAAUGUAUAUACCACCUAUGUUCUCUGGAAAGUUGGAGUACUUAGACUUACUGGACAUUGGUCUCCAUCUGAAAAAAGGUCUACAACACGCCUCUGGAACUUGGACUACAUAAGCCAUGUAUGAUGCCAGUUAACAGCUUGUUUAAUCUCUUAUAUUUAUGCUUCUCUGAAAGCUGAUCUGCCCAGAAAAAACAACUGGAAGGCCUUCAAACAUGGAAGCUUGUCUGAGCUCAUCUGAACGAGACCAAACAUAUAUUAACAGAGUGGCCUACAAGAAUAAAGGAUGAGCCCACAAGGAAGAUGGUCUUCAAAACAUCUGGGAAGAAAUACUUGUCUCACGUGCCCAUCCCUACUCUGUUACUGA